GGCUCUGUGGCGCAAUGGAUAGCGCAUUGGACUUCUAAUUCAAAGGUUGUGGGUUCGAGUCCCUCCAGAGUCG
rnacentral:tRNA from 2 species